rnacentral:lncRNA from 1 species
AAAAAGGCCCGCGGGCGGGCAGACGGGCGGAGUGGAGGCGGCCAGCGGCGAAGAGAGAAGCCAGCCGCGCCGCCCACGGCGUCCGCCUCCAGCGCCACGGCGUCCGCGCCCGGCCCCGGGGAGAAGAAAGAGCCUUUACGAGGCGGCGCCACUACUCACCAGGGAAAAGGGAGGGCGGAGCGGGAGACGAGGAGAUCGAGGCGACAGCGGCUGGAGCCACGGGCACACGGCCCGGGUCGGCGGCACCGGGGACAGCUCAGCGGGACUCACGACCUUCCCAGGAAGCAGCCGCGGGGGUUUCAGCGGCCGAGAAGAAGAACCACGCAGAGAGCGCCGGCAGCCAUCACUCCAGCGGAGCACCCCGCCGGCCCCUACUUAUAGCCCGCGCAGCGACCCGCGUGACCCCGCCGCGCCUCGCGCCGGCCCCGAAGCCCCGCCCCCGGCAUGACGCAGCCCUCCUCGGCCCGGCGUGCCCAGCCGGGUGAGCCCGACGGUGGCGCUCAUUGGCCCGGCCCGCUUCGGCGGCCACGCCCCCAGCGGGGAGCCGGUCCACGUGGGGCGGGACAGCCCCCUCCCUGCGGCCUCGCCCUGGAGUCUCGGCACCGUCUGGCCCCGCCGGCUGAUUACAGCCAGAGAUCGAGGGGGACCUCGCUGUCCCCCUAGAGGCCGUCAUGCGGGGUUACAGAGGCUGCGACCAAAGUCAUUCCUAGCUCCUCUCUCGGGGCUCCGGAAAGCCGUCCGCGCCUCCAGCCGCACUUUCAGCGCACGCAGGACCUGCCGCGCCCGGUGGCCACACCCGUCCCUCUGCCGGGUGACGCUGCGGGAGAUCUUGCGCCCUGGGGCUCCGGAUCCAGUUCUGGCACGUUGUUGCACCUGUGACUUGUCCUUGGCCUGGCACUGUCCCUCGCCUGGGGGAAGCGGGGGGGUGGGGGGGGGAUGCUCACGUGGUCGCUUUGCUCCCGCAGUCAUGCACUUGGGUGAAAACAGACUGAAGAGUCACGGGAACCAGCUUGUCUCCCCAGUUAUGGCGCAGAGCUGCAAGGAUGGCUGUGGGUCAUUAAUUUCUCCGUGGCUGACCUGUGUUUGUAACGCCGCAGCUGUUGCGAGGGGGAAGGACACUGCUUCGGAUUCAAAUUCUGACUCCUUGCUGCAGUGUGUCACCUUGAGCCAGUCCCAGAUCUCUGCGUUCUCACAAUUGUAAAAUGUUAACAGAGGCUGCCUACCUUGUGGCUGGAAUUAAAUGAAUUAACGUGUGUGAAUGUGACUAGAAUUCAGUACAUGUUCAGGAAAAGCUGAUUUCCGCUUUGCUGUUACCGUGAAUAUUACUGUUUUAGGGUGUAGAAAAGGGUGGAAGGGGAUGUUAUUGCAUCCUGGAAGCUUAUCCUUUUGAGGUAAAGAUUGAUUUCUGGUCCCCUGCGUGGUAUAUAGUGUAGUUUUGACAUUAUUUAGAUGUGUUAUGCACAUUUGGGUGUUGAUUAUAUGGCUUACGAUCAAGACUAACCAGUCAUGCCGUGGGAGAUUAAGGUCGUGGUCUCUUGUCAGGAUUGUAGUGAGAUUUAAAAAUUCCAGCCAGAAAUACCAGGCUUAGAAUGCUCUGAAGCCCUCCCCACAUUUUUGCCAUCUCUAGCAGGAGGGCACUGCAUAGCAGAAACAAAGACGUUGUAAAUUGUUGCUGCCUGAGUCAUUUAUAGAGGCUUAAACAACCUGAAUGUCCUCUGACCUACCUGUAACAUUUGAUGGAGUUGUAUGAGUAACUUACAAAGCUGUAGGUCCCAAGGUCGGUCUGAAAAAGAAAGUUCAUAUCCGGGAGCACUGACCCCGUAGUGUAAUCCUGGCACCUUAAAACGUACUGCUCCCUCCACCUUCACUUCAAGGUUAUGAAAACAUUGAGUAAAAGGGAUGAUCUGUUCAAAGUCCUUAGUGUUCUGCCAAUUUAAAACAGUAAUUUUCAAAGCAGUUAUUUGCAAGGAAAUUGCCUAGAACUUCUCCCAGUGUGCGGUUGUUUUGUGUGUUUGUGUGUGUGUUUUGUUUGUUUGUUUUCAGUCUGUCCACAGGCGUACUUUUAUAGGUCUGUGAUAGUAGGUAGCUCUUCAAGUUGGCAAACACCUGCUGGACAACCCCUGAGAGAUUCAUCUGAGUGAGAGAGCACUCUCCAGCCCCAUCGGAGUGGGUUUGCAGGGAAAUCAUAAGGAAGAAAUCCUUAUCUUUCCAACACUGAGAUGCUUCUGCCGAAGAGUAGAAUGGGAGUGAGGGGACACGCAAAACGGGCUGCUGCCGGAGGAAGAGGAACAGUGUUGUGGCUCAUGCCAUAUGAAUGGGCUCACUGGCCUGGCCCAGACCCUGACUGCCCACAGGAUCUUUGGUGAGUCACUGUCACUGAGCCUGUGAGCCUAGGGUCCCUCUCCAACCUCACCCUCAGAGAGGACAGAACAAGAUGACCUGUGGCAUGCUGCAGAACACCAUGUUGGGGACUGUGGGUUUAGAGUCCUCUUGGGGACAUGUCCAUCGUUCACUAAUUCGGUGGAGUUGAGCUGCUGAGAGCUAGGAAAGCUACUCUCCCCCCGGAUCCCAACCUAGCCCUGUGGAAGACCAGACAAAAGAAGGAAGCAAUGACAUUUCUGCACUUUUUAGUUCAGAGAGGCACAGUCAAGGAAAUGCAUUUGAGGUCACUGUUCGAUGUACUUGAAGUACUCAUCCUGGAAAUAGUCUACUUGGAGUAGAGGGAGCUCAAGUGGGCAUGGGAACGUUGUGGAACCAGACCAGGAACAAAGGCGGCUUCAGAGGCCGUCUGUGAGGACUUGCAUGGGAGCAGGGGCGAGAACAUCCAGGGAAGAGAAGGUAGGAGCCUUGGAGUAAAGGAGAACCAGCUCCUCUCCACCCACCAAUGCCCUCCCCAUCCCCAGAUGAAUGAGGUAAUAAUAAUACCUGUAGCUGGACAUGGUGGCUCAAGCUUGUAAUCCCAGCAUUUUGGGAGGCCAAGGCGGGUGGAUCACCUGAGGACGGGAGUUCGAGACCAGCCUAUCAACAUGGAGAAACCCUGUCUCUACUAAAAAUACAAAAAUUAGUUGGGCACGGUGGUGCAUGGCUGUAAUCCCAGCUACUUGGGAGGCUGAGGCAGGAGAAUCACUUGAACCCGGGAGGCGGAGAUUGCGGUGAGCCAAGAUCGUGCCAUUGCACUCCAGCCUGGGCAACAAGAGCAAAACUCCAUCUCAAAAUAAUAAUAAUAAUAAUAUCUGUGAUGCAGUUGAAUGCUUACUGUGUGCCAGGUACUAUUUCAGGUGCUCUGCAUGGAUUAUCUCAGGUGAUGCUCUCAAUAAAUCUCAGAUGAGGUAUUUUCCCCUUACUUUAUAGACAGAGAAACGGAGGCACAGAGAAGGAAGCGGCAGUUAAAGCUGCGAAGAACCUAACAAAUUUCAAGAUUGUAAGUGCCUUUUCCCAGGAUGCCAGCAAGUACUGAGGCAAGUAUGAUUGCCCUAGGUGCCAACUCUUAUUUGCACUUAACACAUUUACUUCCUCCUUCUUUCCCCCUCCUUUUUAUUAACUCUGUUGCUUUUACAGCCUGUAUUUUGAGCUGCAUCAAACCCUGUUGGAAUAAAAAAGGACAUUUCUAGGAGAUCAGUCUUCGAGAUUGGCCCCAGUUUCCCCAGAGUAGGAAGAGGCAGGAAGCCAGAGCACAUGUUCUCUCCAGAAAUAAAGUUGUUGCAGUGGCC